rnacentral:sRNA from 1 species
GCCAGGCAUGGUGGUGCACACCUGUAAUCCCAGCAGCUUGGGAGGCUGAGGCAGGAGGAUGGUGAGUUCAAAACCAGACUCAGCAAAAAAGCGAGGUGCUAAGCAACCUGUCUCUA